rnacentral:misc_RNA from 1 species
GAUGAAGAACGUAGCGAAAUGCGAUACUUGGUGUGAAUUGCAGAAUCCCGUGAACCAUCGAGUCUUUGAACGCAAGUUGCGCCCGAAGCCAUUAGGUCGAGGGCACGCCUGCCUGGGUGUCACACGUCGUUGCCCCCCCAUCUACUCCUUCGGGAUUGCGGGGGGCGGAUGAUGGCCUCCCGUGCGCCUCGUCGCGCGGUUGGCAUAAAUGCCAAGUCCUCGGCGACGCACGCCACGACAAUCGGUGGUUGCGAAACCUCGGUUGCCCGUCGUGUGCGGUCGUCGCGCAUCGAGGGCUCGAAAAAAUUGCCGGGCUCCGGCUCGGCUUUCAACGCGACCCCAGGUCAGGCGGGGUUACCCGCUGAAUUUAAGCAUAUCAAUAAGCGGAGGA